rnacentral:rRNA from 1 species
UACCAGCACCCCGAGUGGUCGGGACGAUUAUUGGGCCUAAAGCAUCCGUAGCCGGUCCUACAAGUCUUCCGUUAAAUCCACCUGCUUAACAGAUGGGCUGCGGAAGAUACUAUAGGGCUAGAAGGCGGGAGAGGCAAGCGGUACUCAGUGGGUAGGGGUAAAAUCCUCUGAUCCAUUGAAGACCACCAGUGGCGAAGGCGGCUUGCCAGAACGCGCUCGACGGUGAGGGAUGAAAGCUGGGGGAGCAAACCGG